UGUAAGCCGGGUUCUGUCGUGGACAAUCAUUCCUCUAGGCUUGCAUUUACACACAAGCUCAAGCAACCUACCCGAACUCUCGGCGGGCCACCGAUUGAGUUCCUAUUUGGUCUUGCUACGAGUGGAGUUUACCUAGCUGCCAAAUGUUACCACUGGCACGGUGCGCUCUUACCGCACCCUUUCACCCUUACCAGCCAAAGCUGGCGGUCUGCUCUCUGUUGCACUAGUCGUAGGCUCGCGCCCCCCGGACGUUAUCCGGCACUCUGCCCUAUGUAGCCCGGACUUUCCUCCCAGAA
rnacentral:RNase_P_RNA from 1 species